UUAACUGAAUCCAUAGGUUAAUGAGGCGAACCGGGGGAACUGAAACAUCUAAGUACCCCGAGGAAAAGAAAUCAACCGAGAUUCCCCCAGUAGCGGCGAGCGAACGGGGAGCAGCCCAGAGCCUGAAUCAGUAUGUGUGUUAGUGGAAGCGUCUGGAAAGGCGCGCGAUACAGGGUGACAGCCCCGUACACAAAAAUGCACAUGCUGUGAGCUCGAUGAGUAGGGCGGGACACGUGGUAUCCUGUCUGAAUAUGGGGGGACCAUCCUCCAAGGCUAAAUACUCCUGACUGACCGAUAGUGAACCAGUACCGUGAGGGAAAGGCGAAAAGAACCCCGGCGAGGGGAGUGAAAAAGAACCUGAAACCGUGUACGUACAAGCAGUGGGAGCACGCUUAGGCGUGUGACUGCGUACCUUUUGUAUAAUGGGUCAGCGACUUAUAUUCUGUAGCAAGGUUAACCGAAUAGGGGAGCCGAAGGGAAACCGAGUCUUAACUGGGCGUUAAGUUGCAGGGUAUAGACCCGAAACCCGGUGAUCUAGCCAUGGGCAGGUUGAAGGUUGGGUAACACUAACUGGAGGACCGAACCGACUAAUGUUGAAAAAUUAGCGGAUGACUUGUGGCUGGGGGUGAAAGGCCAAUCAAACCGGGAGAUAGCUGGUUCUCCCCGAAAGCUAUUUAGGUAGCGCCUCGUGAAUUCAUCUCCGGGGGUAGAGCACUGUUUCGGCAAGGGGGUCAUCCCGACUUACCAACCCGAUGCAAACUGCGAAUACCGGAGAAUGUUAUCACGGGAGACACACGGCGGGUGCUAACGUCCGUCGUGAAGAGGGAAACAACCCAGACCGCCAGCUAAGGUCCCAAAGUCAUGGUUAAGUGGGAAACGAUGUGGGAAGGCCCAGACAGCCAGGAUGUUGGCUUAGAAGCAGCCAUCAUUUAAAGAAAGCGUAAUAGCUCACUGGUCGAGUCGGCCUGCGCGGAAGAUGUAACGGGGCUAAACCAUGCACCGAAGCUGCGGCAGCGACGCUGAUGCGUUGUUGGGUAGGGGAGCGUUCUGUAAGCCUGCGAAGGUGUGCUGUGAGGCAUGCUGGAGGUAUCAGAAGUGCGAAUGCUGACAUAAGUAACGAUAAAGCGGGUGAAAAGCCCGCUCGCCGGAAGACCAAGGGUUCCUGUCCAACGUUAAUCGGGGCAGGGUGAGUCGACCCCUAAGGCGAGGCCGAAAGGCGUAGUCGAUGGGAAACAGGUUAAUAUUCCUGUACUUGGUGUUACUGCGAAGGGGGGACGGAGAAGGCUAUGUUGGCCGGGCGACGGUUGUCCCGGUUUAAGCGUGUAGGCUGGUUUUCCAGGCAAAUCCGGAAAAUCAAGGCUGAGGCGUGAUGACGAGGCACU
rnacentral:rRNA from 1 species